rnacentral:rRNA from 1 species
GGGUUGUGAGGUUAAGCGACUAAGCGUACACGGUGGAUGCCCUGGCAGUCAGAGGCGAUGAAGGACGUGCUAAUCUGCGAUAAGCGUCGGUAAGGUGAUAUGAACCGUUAUAACCGGCGAUUUCCGAAUGGGGAAACCCAGUGUGUUUCGACACACUAUCAUUAACUGAAUCCAUAGGUUAAUGAGGCGAACCGGGGGAACUGAAACAUCUAAGUACCCCGAGGAAAAGAAAUCAACCGAGAUUCCCCCAGUAGCGGCGAGCGAACGGGGAGCAGCCCAGAGCCUGAAUCAGUGUGUGUGUUAGUGGAAGCGUCUGGAAAGGCGCGCGAUACAGGGUGACAGCCCCGUACACAAAAAUGCACAUGCUGUGAGCUCGAUGAGUAGGGCGGGACACGUGGUAUCCUGUCUGAAUAUGGGGGGACCAUCCUCCAAGGCUAAAUACUCCUGACUGACCGAUAGUGAACCAGUACCGUGAGGGAAAGGCGAAAAGAACCCCGGCGAGGGGAGUGAAAAAGAACCUGAAACCGUGUACGUACAAGCAGUGGGAGCACGCUUAGGCGUGUGACUGCGUACCUUUUGUAUAAUGGGUCAGCGACUUAUAUUCUGUAGCAAGGUUAACCGAAUAGGGGAGCCGAAGGGAAACCGAGUCUUAACUGGGCGUUAAGUUGCAGGGUAUAGACCCGAAACCCGGUGAUCUAGCCAUGGGCAGGUUGAAGGUUGGGUAACACUAACUGGAGGACCGAACCGACUAAUGUUGAAAAAUUAGCGGAUGACUUGUGGCUGGGGGUGAAAGGCCAAUCAAACCGGGAGAUAGCUGGUUCUCCCCGAAAGCUAUUUAGGUAGCGCCUCGUGAAUUCAUCUCCGGGGGUAGAGCACUGUUUCGGCAAGGGGGUCAUCCCGACUUACCAACCCGAUGCAAACUGCGAAUACCGGAGAAUGUUAUCACGGGAGACACACGGCGGGUGCUAACGUCCGUCGUGAAGAGGGAAACAACCCAGACCGCCAGCUAAGGUCCCAAAGUCAUGGUUAAGUGGGAAACGAUGUGGGAAGGCCCAGACAGCCAGGAUGUUGGCUUAGAAGCAGCCAUCAUUUAAAGAAAGCGUAAUAGCUCACUGGUCGAGUCGGCCUGCGCGGAAGAUGUAACGGGGCUAAACCAUGCACCGAAGCUGCGGCAGCGACGCUGAUGCGUUGUUGGGUAGGGGAGCGUUCUGUAAGCCUGCGAAGGUGUGCUGUGAGGCAUGCUGGAGGUAUCAGAAGUGCGAAUGCUGACAUAAGUAACGAUAAAGCGGGUGAAAAGCCCGCUCGCCGGAAGACCAAGGGUUCCUGUCCAACGUUAAUCGGGGCAGGGUGAGUCGACCCCUAAGGCGAGGCCGAAAGGCGUAGUCGAUGGGAAACAGGUUAAUAUUCCUGUACUUGGUGUUACUGCGAAGGGGGACGGAGAAGGCUAUGUUGGCCGGGCGACGGUUGUCCCGGUUUAAGCGUGUAGGCUGGUUUUCCAGGCAAAUCCGGAAAAUCAAGGCUGAGGCGUGAUGACGAGGCACUACGGUGCUGAAGCAACAAAUGCCCUGCUUCCAGGAAAAGCCUCUAAGCAUCAGGUAACAUCAAAUCGUACCCCAAACCGACACAGGUGGUCAGGUAGAGAAUACCAAGGCGCUUGAGAGAACUCGGGUGAAGGAACUAGGCAAAAUGGUGCCGUAACUUCGGGAGAAGGCACGCUGAUAUGUAGGUGAAGUCCCUUGCGGAUGGAGCUGAAAUCAGUCGAAGAUACCAGCUGGCUGCAACUGUUUAUUAAAAACACAGCACUGUGCAAACACGAAAGUGGACGUAUACGGUGUGACGCCUGCCCGGUGCCGGAAGGUUAAUUGAUGGGGUCAGCGCAAGCGAAGCUCUUGAUCGAAGCCCCGGUAAACGGCGGCCGUAACUAUAACGGUCCUAAGGUAGCGAAAUUCCUUGUCGGGUAAGUUCCGACCUGCACGAAUGGCGUAAUGAUGGCCAGGCUGUCUCCACCCGAGACUCAGUGAAAUUGAACUCGCUGUGAAGAUGCAGUGUACCCGCGGCAAGACGGAAAGACCCCGUGAACCUUUACUAUAGCUUGACACUGAACAUUGAGCCUUGAUGUGUAGGAUAGGUGGGAGGCUUAGAAGUGUGGACGCCAGUCUGCAUGGAGCCGACCUUGAAAUACCACCCUUUAAUGUUUGAUGUUCUAACGUUGACCCGUAAUCCGGGUUGCGGACAGUGUCUGGUGGGUAGUUUGACUGGGGCGGUCUCCUCCUAAAGAGUAACGGAGGAGCACGAAGGUUGGCUAAUCCUGGUCGGACAUCAGGAGGUUAGUGCAAUGGCAUAAGCCAGCUUGACUGCGAGCGUGACGGCGCGAGCAGGUGCGAAAGCAGGUCAUAGUGAUCCGGUGGUUCUGAAUGGAAGGGCCAUCGCUCAACGGAUAAAAGGUACUCCGGGGAUAACAGGCUGAUACCGCCCAAGAGUUCAUAUCGACGGCGGUGUUUGGCACCUCGAUGUCGGCUCAUCACAUCCUGGGGCUGAAGUAGGUCCCAAGGGUAUGGCUGUUCGCCAUUUAAAGUGGUACGCGAGCUGGGUUUAGAACGUCGUGAGACAGUUCGGUCCCUAUCUGCCGUGGGCGCUGGAGAACUGAGGGGGGCUGCUCCUAGUACGAGAGGACCGGAGUGGACGCAUCACUGGUGUUCGGGUUGUCAUGCCAAUGGCACUGCCCGGUAGCUAAAUGCGGAAGAGAUAAGUGCUGAAAGCAUCUAAGCACGAAACUUGCCCCGAGAUGAGUUCUCCCUGACCCUUUAAGGGUCCUGAAGGAACGUUGAAGACGACGACGUUGAUAGGCCGGGUGUGUAAGCGCAGCGAUGCGUUGAGCUAACCGGUACUAAUGAACCGUGAGGCUUAACCUUACAACGCCGAAGCUGUU